rnacentral:lncRNA from 1 species
UUUUUUUUUUUUCCCAGGCUCUCGCGGGUUUCCCCUGCCAGGGAAUCCACUCGCUGUAGUUUUCUAGGGCUCUGGUCCCAGUCCUUUCUGAAGCGCGCUUGCAGGCUGUCUUCCUCAGUCGCCCUCUCCCUGGGUGCUGUUUUGCUGGGCAGCAUCCCAUGCUAGGCUCGGCAGACAUUCUGGCGGUUGGGUUCGGCCCUUACAGCGCUAACACCUGCAGAGUCGAGGCUCCUGCCAAAAGGCAGAAAGCAAAGGAGGAAAAAAUUCAUUGUCAUAAUAGCGAAAAUGAUAAACCUCAGCUGUUUAAGAGAAGAAUGUCUGAGUAGCUGUUGAUUAUCUCCCAUAAUCACAAAACAACUUUUUUUUAAAAAGAAUUUGCACUGUCUGUUAAAACGCGGUCAUUGUUUUGCUUUCAAAUCGAACUUCACGACAGUUAGCAACUUCAAGAACGCUUCCAAAUGGAUAAAUCUUUCCAGAAGGUUUUUCUGUGGACCUAAAUUUUCAUUUCUCUGGGAUAAAUGUCCAGGAGUGUGAUUGCUGGGUCAUAUGGUGUCACAUGCCAUUCUUCUGAUUUUCAUGAAUAUCCUCUAAAAGGCAGCUAAGCACUCGCUGUCUUCUUCCUUUUGCCUCAUCAAGCACGGGGGACGCUGGAAGGAAGAGUAUGGAAGCUUUGUAAAUUUUCCUUGUUAAAAACAAGCACCAUCUUCAUACCUGCUGAAAUCUAAUUCUCAUCCAGAGGGAUGUGAGGAAUAAAGGGGGCAGUGAUACCAACAGCGGGCGUAGACAGCCCAUCCAUCCCACGCAGGUAAUGAAGCUGAUGCUUAGAGAGGUUGAGUAAUCCACCCAUGUCUCUCUGACCCAGGUCUGACCACCAUACUAUUGCCUGCAGAUGAAGAGGAGCAACAUAUUGUAUCCUGUGUUGCUCAAGAGAGCAGAAUUAGGACUUAGAAUAGCCUUCUAAGAAUUGCUCUGUGCCACCAAAUGGGUGGCAGACUUCUAGACAAGUUUUCUAAACUUGUCAGCCUCAACUACAAGUGAGCUGGUGAGAGAAAACAAACAUCACUAUCCAGGGGCUUUUGCUGGACUUACUGAAUGUAACAGAGAUCGGAUUGGAUUGUCUCUAAUGUCUGUUUCACGAAUAGAGUUCUGUAAAUAGUC